UAUUAUACUGGUGAAUAUUAUGAAAAUCUGAAUUAUUAAUAGAUAUGAUCUUUAAAUUUGAAGAAUUUGGCGGUAAUUUAGUCUUGUUAGAGGAACCUGUUUUUGAAUCGAUAAACCACGUAAAAUCUUACUCAUUAUUAUAAAAGUUUAUAUACCAUCAUUAGCAGAUAAUUUUUAAAAAAUUAAUUAUUAGGUUUUAAAAGAAAAGAAUAAUUUAAAUUAGAUCAAGGUGUAGCCUAUAAAUGAGUUAAAAUGGGUUACAAUAAAAUUUAUUUAGAACGGAACAAGUAUAAGAAAAUUGCUUGUAGAAGGAGGAUUUAAUUGUAAUAUAAGUUUAAUAAGCUAAAAAGAUAUAAGCUCUAAAUUAU
rnacentral:rRNA from 1 species